rnacentral:lncRNA from 1 species
AAAAAGAAAAGAGACAGAGCGAUACGAGUAACAGCUAGGGUUUCGUCGAUUCCUUCACGAUACAUCAAAUAUUUUCGUUAUUCAUACCGAACUUUCAUUUAAAAUCUUUCAGGAUUCACCAGUAUGCUAUCAAUGGUGAAGGCGUAUGCAAAAAGGUAAGGAUUUUGUUCUUAUUUUGAAGGUAAGGAUUUUGUUCUUAUUUUGUCUUUCAUAUUGUUUCAACUUCAGAUGAACGGCAUCGAUAUAUAUAAGUAACAAAUAUAGAUUGAUUGAUCUAUCGAAAGUGAAAGUAUUUGAAGAUAGGUGUCGGCCGAUAUUGAUCUUGAUACAUAAGACAAACCGAACCAAUUUAAAGAAGAAUAAAACCAGAAUCAAUUCUAAGACAAAGGUUAUACUUUUUAUUACUGUUUGUUUCUACUGUGUUUUAUUUUGUUGUUUUAUUUCCAGCUUGAAGCUGGUAUUUCUGUGUGUUUAAGGUCUUGUUUAGAUUCAGAGGUUAUGUCUGUUUUGGUUACUCAUGAGUAAUGAGUUUUAUUUUCAGAUGAAUAAUAUUAUUAGGUUUAGUGCAAAUAGAAGUGUCCGUCUGUUUUGAUAAGACUUAGAGUUAAUUUUCUUCUAUCAGCUGUAGUGCAAAUUGAAGUGUAAUCACAUUGCAAGUUAAGUUCAGAUAGUCUUAUAUUAGAUUAAGAUUCAACUUAGGGUUAAUUUUCUUGAUUCUUAUUUGCUUUCCGACAUCAUGUAUUAGUAGUAUUGACAAACAGAGGGACAGUAGCCAGAAGCCAUUUAUCCAAAAGCAAGACUGAAGGGAGAAGAACAGAAAGAUGAGAAUCAGUUGAAUCAUAGCUAACUCAUGGUAAGUAAAUAGUAAACAUUUCUAACAAUUUAUAAUAUGCCGUUUGAUUAUCUAUAUAGUUAGUCAAUGUUGACUCUUUUGUUACCCUACAAAAACAAACACGGUUAGUGUUAGAUUAUAGUAAAAGAAAGUAAGCAAUUGAAGUUAACAAAUGUUUACACAGAAAGUCACCAUUUAGUCGGCUAAAACCAUCUCAAAGUUAACUUUUCCCAAAGAUGUGUUUUGCUUCCACGAAUGUAAACACUUAACCUGAACUCGCCAUAAGGUUUUGAAAGGUCGGACUUUUGUGAGAAAAGUAAAAGUUGUUGAUGAAGACAUGUUUAGGUUAAGGAUCUUUUUUUUCUUUUCUACUGACGCAAUAGAGUAGAUAUAUAUAUAGUUUCUUCCGA